CCGAGUGUUUACGCUCACCAAACCCACUGUGUAACCUUACCACUGUCGUUGCUUCGGCGGGCGCAGACCCCCCCCGGAAGGGGAGGGGCGCGGGCCCGCCGACGGCACCCAAACUCUUCUGUAUCUUGCUCUAGCGUCUCUUCUGAGUAACAAAAGACAAACAAUCA
rnacentral:misc_RNA from 2 species